CACUAAAUGAAAACUAGAUACAAGCGAGCGGCGACGGGUUGAGUAACACGUGGGUAACCUGGCCCAAGAGACUGGGGAUAACACCUGGAAACAGAAUGGCUAAUACCGGAGUAACAACACUAGACGCAUGUCUAGAGUUUGAAAGAUGGUUCUGCUAUCACUCUUGGAUGGACCUGACGGUGCAUUAGCUAGUUGGUAAGGUAAUGGCUUACCAAGGCAAUGGAUGCACUAGCCGAGUUGAGAGACUGAUCGGCCACAUUGGGACUGAGACACGGCCCAAACUCCUACGGGAGGCAGCAGUAGGGGAAUCUUCCACAAUGGGACGAAAGUCUGAUGGAGGCAACGCCGCGUGAGUGAAGAAGGGUUUCGGCUCGUAAAGCUCUGUUUGGUAGUGAAAGAAAGAUAGAGGUAGUAACUGGGCCUUUAUUUGACGGUAAUUACUUAGAAAGUCACGGCCUAACUACGUGCCAGCAGCCGCGGUAA
rnacentral:rRNA from 1 species